UUGCCCCAACGGCCGUAACGGCCGUAACGGGCGCACCGAGGGCCCUCGGCCGCCUCCGGCUCCCCGGAGGGAGCCCCGGCGGAGCUGCCCCGGGCGGAGGGGGCGAGGCGAGGGGAGCGGCGGUGUGUGAGCCCCGGCCCGCGCCGAGCGGGCAAAUGCACAUCAGAUGGGGAGAGCGGAGCGCUUCAAAAACGGCUGACUAAAAUUACACUCUUGAGCUGUAAUGUAUACAACGGCAUGAGUGAUUAAUUAGGGGAGCCCACAUCCGACAAGAAAGGAAUCUUGGAAAACGCUGCAAAUACAGCUGGGAUCCAGAUUAAUACACUUAUCUAAUAAAGCGCUUCCCGGCCGCCUCCUGUCUUCUGCCCGGUCCUGUCUCCUGCUUCUUCUGCCUCGCAUUAGGGCAGGCUCGAUCGGGCGAGCUGAACCUUCGCGCUAAAAAAAAAUAUCGUAUUUGUGUGGUAAAGACACCCAGAAGCCGGCUGACUUCAGAGCGCACCGAGGGAUGAAGCGGAUUGCGGAGUUUUUACUCUCCCCGUCGUGUUUUACAGUGCCACGCCGACCUCAGAGAGGAGAGCAGCUCUCUUCCUGCUUGUCCUGGACUUCUUCAGCAGCUAGCCUAAAUAUACACAUACACUUAGUGCCCUACAUAAAGAAUUUUGAUAUAUAUUUCCAGUCACAUAAGCGCGUUAAUAAAAAUAAUAAAGGAAAAUAAUAAUAAAGAAAAAAUAAUAAUAAAGGAAAAAAUAAAGAAAAAAAAAAGAAAAAAAUUAAAGAAAAAAAAAAAAA